rnacentral:rRNA from 1 species
GACGAACGCUGGCGGCGUGCUUAACACAUGCAAGUCGAACGGAAAGACCCUGCUUUUGUGGGGUGCUCGAGUGGCGAACGGGUGAGUAACACGUGAGUAACCUGCCCUUGACUUUGGGAUAACUUCAGGAAACGGGGGCAAAUACCGGAUAGGAGCUCCUGCUGCAGGGGGGGGGUUGGAAAGUUUCGGCGGUUGGGGAUGGACUCGCGGCUUAUCAGCUUGUUGGUGGGGUAGUGGCUUACCAAGGCUUUGACGGGUAGCCGGCCUGAGAGGGUGACCGGCCACAUUGGGACUGAGAUACGGCCCAGACUCCUACGGGAGGCAGCAGUGGGGAAUAUUGCACAAUGGGCGGAAGCCUGAUGCAGCAACGCCGCGUGCGGGAUGACGGCCUUCGGGUUGUAAACCGCUUUCGCCUGUGACGAAGCGUGAGUGACGGUAAUGGGUAAAGAAGCACCGGCUAACUACGUG